rnacentral:rRNA from 1 species
AUGAACGCUGGCGGCGUGCUUAACACAUGCAAGUCGAACGAGAAAUGUAGACGGAAACCUUCGGGCGGAAGCCUUCAUUUCGAGUGGCGGACGGGUGAGUAACGCGUGGGUAACCUGCCUCAUACAGGGGGAUAACAGUUGGAAACGACUGUUAAUACCGCAUAAGACCACAGCAUCGCAUGAUGCGGGGGUAAAAACUCCGGUGGUAUGAGAUGGACCCGCGUUCGAUUAGCCAGUUGGCGGGGUAACGGCCCACCAAAGCGACGAUCGAUAGCCGAUCUGAGAGGAUGACCGGCCACAUUGGGACUGAGACACGGCCCAAACUCCUACGGGAGGCAGCAGUGGGGAAUAUUGCACAAUGGGGGAAACCCUGAUGCAGCGACGCCGCGUGAGUGAAGAAGUACUUCGGUAUGUAAAGCUCUAUCAGCAGGGAAGAAAAUGACGGUACCUGAGGAAGAAGCCCCGGCUAACUACGUG